rnacentral:rRNA from 1 species
CCUACGGGAGACAGCAGUGAGGAAUAUUGGUCAAUGGACGAGAGUCUGAACCAGCCAAGUAGCGUGAAGGAUGACUGCCCUAUGGGUUGUAAACUUCUUUUAUAUGGGAAUAAAAUGUUCCACGUGUGGGAUUUUGUAUGUACCAUAUGAAUAAGGAUCGGCUAACUCCGUGCAAGCAGCAGCGGUUAUACGGAGGAUCCGAGCGUUAUCCGGAUUUAUUGGGUUUAAAGUGAGCGUAGGUGGAUUGUUAAGCCAGUUGUGAAAGUGGGCGGCUCAACCGUAAAAUUGCAGUUGAAACUGGCAGUCUUGAGUACAGUAGGGGUGGGCGGAAUUCGUGGUGUAGCGGUGAAAUGCUUAGAUAUCACG